CAUUCCAUUUGGCUCCAAUCUGUCUACUUGGUUUCUUAUACUGCUAGCAUGAUAUCUAUCAUCUUAUUGCUAUAAGAUCAAAUUAUUCAUGUAAUUGUUUCCAUCUAUCUUGGAAUAAUUAUAACUGAAGAAAUGAGCUUAUUUAGCAUGAGCAUUCAGAACUUAUUGAAGAUUGUGUGCUUCCCCUUUUAUGAAUUAUGAUACAAGGUUCAUGGUAUUAAUUAUAACUGAAAAAAUGAGCUUAUAUUUUCUCGAAAAAAAAUGAGCUUAUUCAACGUGAACAUAAAUGGAUGGAGGGUGUUAGAACUGCAUAUAUAUGCUAUUCCUAUUUCCUCUGGUUCUUAUCAUGUAAAUAGAGCUUUACACAAGAAAAAACAAAUUUAGUCUUUGAAUAUUAAUUGACUGCAAACCUUUUGCUCUAGGCUUGCAGUGCAUAUGUAAUGUGCAGUUCUUAUGGUUACAACUACCUUUAUUCGCCAAAAAGUAUAGAAUUGUUGUUGCCUACUUCUGAUAAACCGUUCUUAUUUCGCUGGUUCUAGGUCAUACUACUUUGUUUGCUACAACCCGUUCCAUCUGUGGCCAGUUAGCUCUGGUUUGGUAGCAUAAUUUUCAUUCACUGCUUCAUGGUACAUGGGAAAUAUUGUUGCGGUAAUGGUUUGCUUUUUCUCUGUGCGCAGUCUGUAGCGGUACACUGCUUUAUGCUGCCUUUAAAUUUGUUACCAUCUUUAUUUAGGAGGAAGAAUUUGUUACCAUAACGGGGAAAUAUGUAUGGGCUUGAGAUAUGUAUUAUCAAAUGAGUGUCAAUUCCAGCAUCAUAGUUUCAUUGACCAGCCUUAAAACUAUUGCUUAGAGAAUGUGUUCCUAAUUGUCAAGUAGCAGGGUCUGUAUCUCGGUUUUUAUCUCCAGUAUGCAUUAAAGCAUGGUCCGGUACCUUUGUUUGUGAGCUUUUGUUUUGUAUCCAAGUGGUUUAUUUCGAAGUAUAUAUAUACUGUGCUUUGUAGUUUCCAUAUUACAAUCUGUUAAUUUAUGUGAAGAUUUUACGCUAACACUUACCAGUUUGUAGCAUUGUUCUUUGUGAUAUGUAGUGCCAUGGUCUCCGGUUCAGCUGAUAAGAGCAUGGAUUGAAUCACUGACAUCCUUCAUCAAUAUGUGCAGCAAGAUGGAAUUAAAAUGCUCAUUACAAAAAGGCUUUUUGAAUAAAAUGAGCAUUUUUUUUGUAAGAAGUUCCAACAGAUUUCGCCAGUUGCUUCCAGUAUAGUAAAAAAUGCAAAUUGUCCAGUCCAAGUAAAUUUUAAUGUUUAGUGUUCUCUUCUGUAUCUGCAUGCUAUGAUAGUGCUAACUAUAAGUUCCUUUUCACUUGGACAAACUAGGCAAGGAUCUAUGAGCAUUACCAUUUAUGAAUAUGCAAGGAACUUGGACUCAGCUUCUAACCAAAGAAAUGAUCUGACUGAGAUACACAUGGCUGAUAUUGUUUCGACAACUUAUGAUGUCCUCAAGGAAGAGCUGUCACGUGAUUCUGAUAGACAUGAUGGAGAUCGCCGUUUUUUGAGAUUUCAGAAGGGAAUUGAGGCUGGGAGUCCUGCCAUUGGAGAAGCUAUUGCAUUGGGAGCAGCAGUAGAUUAUCUGUCACAAUUCGGCAUGCUGAGGAUUCAUGAGUAUGAGAAAGAGUUUGGGAUGUAUCUUUACGAGAUAUAUCCAUGCGAGACUAGAUAUGAAUUCAACGAAGCUAAGUAGUUCCUUGGGUACUAUGUGUUAGAUGAAUAUGAAUUGAUCCGUUGAGACUGAGGUCUACGACAAUGACUCUGUCAGACUGCCUAUGAAUUAUCAAGAAAGUUUUCCUUCUAUGCUAGCUACUCCGUACUUCUGAUGUUUCGUUAUGCAUAGUGAUAUCUGUGAUAAUCAUGUCACUAAAGUUUGAUGUUUCGUCUUACACUAUAUAUAUGUAAAUAAUGGAGCAGCUAGCUCUGCUAUGAACUCACAUGGCACUACUCCUAUCUUAGAACCAUGUAUUUGUACCUAUAUGUAAUGUAUUUUUCCUUCUUU